rnacentral:rRNA from 1 species
UACGUAGGGUGCAAGCGUUGUCCGGAAUUAUUGGGCGUAAAGAGCUCGUAGGCGGUUCGUCGCGUCGGCUGUGAAAUCCCGAGGCUCAACCUCGGGUCUGCAGUCGAUACGGGCGGACUGGAGUACUGCAGGGGAGACUGGAAUUCCUGGUGUAGCGGUGAAAUGCGCAGAUAUCAGGAGGAACACCGGUGGCGAAGGCGGGUCUCUGGGCAGUUACUGACGCUGAGGGGCGAAAGCGUGGGGAGCGAACAGG